rnacentral:rRNA from 1 species
AUGAGCGCCGUGUGCUUUUUCUUGGCGUGCCUGGCGGCAGCCCUGCAGCCAACGUCGGCCGCCGAGGCUGGAAGGGGUGGGAUCUUGCAUAUCCCUUCCGCCGCCGAGCUGCGUCAGGCUCGUUGCCCUUCCAGAUGCGGUGGUGUUGCCAUUCACUAUCCGUGGGGGGUAGGGCCGGGCUGCUUCCGGCAAGGCUUCGAGCUCACCUGCAACAGCACCGCAGGUCAUAAGAGGCUCUUUCUGGGCAAUAGUACUACUGAGGUCCUUGAGUUGUAUCGCGGAGAAAAUUGGCUUGGAGUCUCUCCUAUCCACUUCAACGUCACCCUCAAACCAGGUAUGAAGGACACUUAUAACAUGUCAUGGGAGGCCCCUGUUAAAGGUGUUAUGACCUCUGAAGAUACAAGCUUGUUCAUUGUUGGUUGUGGUGUGGGUGUCUACUUGUUCGGCCAUGAUACCAACAAGCCCAUAGGUUCUUGCACGAGUAUUUGCCUAGACGACAAAGAGGCCAUGAAGGAGGCAAAUGCAAACCAGUACGAUGGCUGGGAUGUUGGGAUGGGAUACUGUUCCAUCCAUUUGCAGCAGGACGUGCGAGCCUUUGGGUUCAUAGUUGGCCGCCUUAAUGGUGGCUUCUCAGCACUAUCAAGUCAAGGUGAAGGGCUCUCUAAUAGUAUCAAAGUAUUCAUGGCGGGAUAUUACGAAUUUCAUACGGCUGACAUCUAUUCAAGUAAGAUAGACGAACGGAAUGUUGAAGGGGCAUAUUUUGGCAUGGCCAUCACGGAUCAACCAAACUGUAAAAAUGCUCAGAAGAACAUGUCAAGCUAUGCUUGUAGCACUGACAGCAUUUGCCUGGAUCAGCAAUCAGCUGGAGGCUACUUGUGCCGGUGCCCCAGUUACGCAGAUGAUGAGAAUCCGUACAUUAUGGACGGCUGUCAAGCAUACACACCCAAUCCCAAAGAAGGUUGCAAGAGAUUAUGCGGGAACACAAACAUUCCCUUUCCUUUUGGGCUUGAAAAAGGUUGCUAUGCUGCCGAAAAGUUUCGGCUUAACUGUACAUCAGAAAACAUCACAAUUCUUGAUCGAAGUGCCAAAUACAUUGUGGCCAACAUUUUAGUGAAUGAAGGAUAUCUUACUGUUAGAGAAAUACAAAACAACUCAAGGUACAGCGAUGAAGAUCUUGCGGUGGUAAGUUAUACAAGCGGUGGGGGCAUGGAACUAGAAGACAUCGUCGAUCGAUAUGGUUUUUAUUUAUCUGAAGAAUACGACAUGAAGAUGUGGUGGUCUGUUGAUAAUUUAACCUGUCCGGUUGAUAUGAGCAAGCAAAGAAGUGCUACGUACGCAUGCCGCAGUGUCAAUAGCGCCUGCAUUCCUGUCACCCGCCGCCAUGGGAAUGGCACGACGCAGCUCGGCUAUCGUUGCCAGUGCUCUCCCAAUUAUGAGGGAAAUCCAUACACACCGGAUGGCUGCACAGAUGUCAACGAGUGUUUGUUGAUGAAUACUUGCAAUGGCACAUGCCAAAAUUAUCCUGGGGGCUAUAGUUGCAACACCUGCACUCAUGGAAAAGAGUUUGAUCCAAUAAAAAGGAGAUGUGUCACAUCAGCAAAGAGACGCAGUCUUCUCUUAGGUAUCGGAAUUGGAAUUGGGUGUGGUCUUGGUGCCAUAAUACUUGGGCUAGGUAUUGUGGCAUUCAUCAGUAAGUGGAAGAGAGGCAUACAGAAGAGAAUACGAAGAGCAUACUUCAAGAAAAAUCAAGGACUACUCUUGGAACAACUAAUAUCAGAUGAAAGUGCCACUGAUAAAAUGAAGAUAUUCUCCUUGGAGGAAUUAAAUAAAGCAACCAAUAACUUUGAUGUCAGUCGUGUUCUUGGUCGUGGAGGACAUGGCACCGUUUACAAAGGAAUUCUAUCUGAUCAACGUGUAGUGGCUAUCAAAAAGUCAAAGCUAGUGGAGCAAACUGAGAUUGACCAGUUUAUCAAUGAGGUUGCCAUCUUAUCACAGAUCAUUCACCGGAAUGUGGUCAAGCUUUUUGGUUGUUGUCUCGAAACAGAGGUGCCUUUGUUGGUCUAUGAGUUCAUAUCCAAUGGCACACUAUAUGAUCUUCUUCACAUCGAUGUAAGUGUUAAAUGCUUACUUUUAUGGGAUGAUCGUAUUAGGAUUGCAACAGAAGCUGCAGGUGCUCUUUCUUAUCUCCACUCAGCUGCUGCGAUACCAAUUUUCCAUAGAGAUGUCAAAUCUUCCAAUAUACUCCUAGAUGGCAACUUUACUACCAAGGUUUCUGACUUUGGUGCUUCGAGGUCUUUAUCACUUGAUCAGACACAUGUAGUGACAAUUGUACAAGGAACUUUUGGUUACUUAGACCCCGAGUACUACCACACCGGGGAGCUAAGUGAGAAGAGUGAUGUUUAUAGCUUUGGAAUUAUACUGGUGGAGCUUCUGAUGAGAAAGAAGCCAAUUUUUAUUAAUGAACAAGGUAUGAAACAAAGCUUGGCUCAUUACUUUGUGGAAGGCCUUCAGCAGGGAGUUCUCAUGGAAAUCAUGGAUCCCCAAGUUGCAGAAGAAGCGAAUCAGAAUGAAAUUUAUGACAUUGCCUCAGUUGCGGAAGCAUGCUUGAAAACCAAAGGAAAAGAAAGACCUACCAUGAAAGAGGUAGAAAUGAAGUUGCAACUCCUAAAAACUAGAAGAUUAAGGAGUCAACUUCCUCCCAUAAAUGACGGAGAGAUCGAGUCACUUGGGUGCUUAAAUGGCGCUAGCUCUCAUGCACAGAGCAACAGCAUUGUCAGUAAUGUUGGCUUAACACCUACAUGCAGCUCCGGAAAGUAUAGUCUGGAGCAAGAGUUUUUAAACUCGGCCAGCUUUCCACGCUAG